rnacentral:lncRNA from 1 species
AGGCCUGAAAGGACUCGCUGAGCAUGACAAUCAAGUGGAAGAGGGUCUUGCAAUUGCACUUGUCCCUGAGGGGGGCCCUUGUCCUUGCCACCUUGGUUCUUGCUCAGGCUGCUGGGGCUGAGGCCUGAGGUCUGGGAUGGGGAGAGAGCCUUCAGUAUGUGGGCCGCCCUCCUGUCAGAACAGUGUUUGUCGUCUCCUGCUAUCUUACGAGCAAACAGCCAUGUUGUAAAUGGCCUCUGAGGAGGACUGGCCUCUAGGAGUUGAGGACCUCAAGCCUACAUCUGCAAGGAAUUGAACGAUGCCAAGAACCCGAACAAACUCUGAAGAUGAGAAUGCGGCCCUGUGCCAAGACUGGCUGCCUUCCCCUGUUUCUGUACCACACUGGUUCCUGAAGCUAUUUGAGUUUGAGACUGCUGGGGUAACCUGACCCACUUCAAGGAUCUGAAAGUAUUUUACAGUUGGUUGAAUCCAUGGAUGUGGAACCCAUGGAUGUGAAGGACUGACUGUACUUUGCACUAGUGGUUCUCAAAGUGUGGGCCCUGGACCAGUGGCAGCAGCAUCACCUGGGAACUUGUGAGAAAUGCACUUUUCAGCUCCUGUUUCAGAUGGACCUAUCAGAAUCUCUGCAGGCUGGAGUGCAAUGGCGUGAUCUCGGCUCGCCGCAACCUCCACCUCCUGGGUUCAAGCAAUUCUCCUGCCUCAGCCUCCUGGGUAGCUGGGAUUACAGGAGAAGAGAGACAGAAGGAGAGAAGAGGGGCAGGAGGAGAGAAAACACAAGAAAGAGGAUGGAAGAUAAAGAGGAAGGUGAGGGGUUUGCUAGUUGGAGGCUGUAAAUUUUGAAGCAUCGACAUUGACCUACGGUGUCUUGGUGCCAGGUUGCUAGAGGCAUUGGCAGGCUACCUUGAGGCAGAGUGGUGUCAUGACAAGGGCACUGGGCUGGAAGACAGCUGCUACAAGCUCUCAGCCCAGCCCUGCCUCUCACUAAUUCUGGGAUCCUGGGUGAACCAUGUCACUGCUAGCUUGGCAUUUUUUUUCUGCAAAAUGCAGGGUUGGAUUAGACUGCCUGUAAGGUCCUCCCCCAGCUCCUGGGAGUUGUGACUUUAUGAUCAGCAGGCAUUCAAGCCAUGGCCAGGCAGAGCUGAGGACUAGGGUCAGGGAUAACCUGUCCUGAUACCUAGUUUCCUGAGAUUCUGGGAAUUUUUGUAGCCCACUUGGCAAGGAUGCCAAAUCAGGGACAAAGGAAUGCUGGGGUUGAGCCAGUGAUGUGGUAGAGGGAGAGGAUGGGUGGGAGAGGGCGGCACUUACAGCAGGAGGAGAUGGGCACGCUGAUGGCCAGGAUCACCCAGGCGAUAUCCAUCUUGCUCAGGCAGAUGGUGGCUCUGUGCUGCGGUUUGUCCCCCUCGGCCACAUGGGAGAUGUUCCCUGCUGUCCCAGGCUUCCAGGUCCCGGCGGGGACCAGGCGGUUGAGGAAAUUGCCUGUGGCUGUGGAUACCACUGUGGAGAGAGGACUGGGCACCCGGUCGGUCAUGGUGAGGGUGGCCACAGUCUCCUCCUUGGCUCCAGAAAUAGUGCUUUCUGAGACCCUGGAGGGAUGGGUUGGAGCUUGUGGGGUUGUGGAUGCUCCCUGAGGAAUCCCCUGGGAAGGGGCUGAGACACUGGUAUCGAAGGCAGCUGGGGUGGGCCCCGUGGCAGCCGUGAAGACCCCAGAGCUGGUAGACAGAGGUCUGCUGGUGCCAGGGGUAACAGUAAGCCAAGAGUCACUAUGGCUGGGGCCAUCCUGUGGGUCACCGUGGUGGGGGCGCUGAGAAGGCACUGGGGCAGCUUGUGGACUGACAGGGGCACCUGAGGCUGCUGUGGCAUCUGGUGUCCCUCCUUGGCUGGUGAAGGUAGAACCACCCCCCUGGGCUGCUCUGCGAAGGCCUGGCUUGUCCUUUGCAGGCCCCAGGGAGGUGGUGGUGGGUGCCCAUGAGGUAUUGCUGGGCACUGUGGUCGCAGCCACUGUCUGGGGCUGUGGUGAAGAGGAGUAGCCCCAGAGUGGGGUCCUGGGGGUGAGGGUAGAGGGCUCCGGUUCCACAGACCCUGUGAAGUUGCCCUUGUAGAUCUGAAAGAUUUUCCCCAGGGGCCGCUUCUGCCCCAGAGGUGUGGAGCUUGGAUUUCGUCCUCGCUGUCCUUCUUUACUCCUGGAGUGGCCACCAGGUGCAGGCGGGACAGGGCGUGAUGAAUUACCAGCCCCUUUUCGGGAAGAGCCUGGGGGCCUGGGGGGCCUGCGUGUGGUAGUGCGGGGGGGCGCUGUGGUGGGGCGGCUGGUGGCCCCCGGUGGCUUUGUCAGCAGGAUGGUGGGGGCAGCCUGCCCUCGAGGGCGGCCCUCUGGCUUGGAGGAUGUGGUUGCCAUGGCUGCUGGAGCGGGCCCUGUGGACAGGGAGCUUUCAGAAUGGGGGGCGGUUACUGUCGCAGCGAUGGUGGAGAUGGUGUGCGUAGGAGGGUGCCCCUCUGCACGGGGUGUCGGUGUUGCCAUGGGAGCUGCAGCCUGUGAGGGGGGUCCAUCGGGAUUGGGGGUCAGCAUCACCACAGAAGUAUGUCUGGUAGAGCUGUGGGGUGCUGUCACCAUGGUUCCCGGGGGAGUGCCUGAAGGGAGGACCUGAAGAGAUUCCCUGGGAGAUGGUUCCUGGAUGGCAAAUGCCAGCGCUUCGGUCAGUGCCAAGAUCAGCAGGAAACCUUGAAAAGGAGACAGAGAGAAGAGGUAAAAUACUUGGGGAGCAGCAUACAGCCUGGGCCUUUCUUACCUGUGGCCUAGGACAGUGCUGGGAACUCAGGAAACGUCAGGAGCAUUCCUGAGCCCACACUAGUGCUCCUACACUGAACCAGAACUGUCUGUGGAGCUGGGGCAGGUCUAUUAGGUAGGUGCUGCCUGGUACCUGCUGGAAAGAGAGACCAGCACCAGGGGAAGCAGAGCAGCUACCCUGGCCAGGCUCCUCCUUUCCCACAUGCCUCAGAAACGCCAUCAGCCCUCCCCACAAGGGCAACUUUUCAGAACAGGCUGGGGCUGGAGGUGUAGAAGGCUUGUGGCCUCCACAUCUGCCUCUUCCUCUGCAGCCAGGAGUGGUCAAGGACAGCUUGCCUGUGGGGAAGCCUGUGUGAACUCUGUGUGAGCCACCCCAAGCCAAAUGAGGAAGGCCUGGGUGGCAGUAUGUACCAACUCUUAUGCCCUUUUCUGAAUCUUCCAUUUAUAAACUACACAAAGGUACAAGCAAACAGACCUCUGUCCCUUCAGGACCAUUCGCCAAACAAUUAUGGAGGUUCAACCCUCUCCCUGACCCUGGAGGACACAAAAACGAACAGGGCAGUCUCUGGCCCUGGAUAAGCUCGCACAUAUCCACAAACAAUCCUAAAAUAAGACAAAGAUGUCUCAGUGCCAUAGAAGAGUGACAGGCAGAAGAGGACCGGGGUCUAGAGAAGAGCAACCAGACCUGGAGCCCAUAAAAGCACUUAGCACAGCCUGGAACAGAAGGUGCCUUCUACAAAUGCCGGCUGGUGUCAUGGUUGUUAUUAACUGCUUUUCCUAUGGCAUUCAUGUGGCUGAACUCUGAAAAAUUGUCAUUGGUGAUAUCCAGCCUUUUUGAGUAGAAGGAGCCCUUUUGAACAUUAAAAAAAAAAAAAAAAAAAGGAUUUUGUAUGAUAGCCAAUGUGCAUACUUGCAGUUCAAGAAAAUGCACAAGGACAAAAACGUAUAUGUUUAAAAACAUUUCUAGUUAUGUGUGGAUUUUAUCAAUCACAAUAGCAUGUGCCUAUUUUUAAAAAUGGUACCUCAUGCAAGCAUGACAUGUAGGAGCCGUUGACAACACAUGGGUUGGGAAGAGCCUGUCUCUACGGCUGAGGAAGGGCCAACAGUCCUCUGAGGCCUGAUUCUGACCUGUUAGCACCUCCUUGUUCAUGGAUCCCCUUCUUUGUCAUCCUCAGGCAGUUCCUUCAGCCCCUGCUAGGCUCCUCUGACUAUGGAGAGAGAUCUCUGUCUGCGUCUAAUUACUCUCUCAGAGCGUCUUUCCUCCAUCAGAUUCCAGCAGGACAAACGGCCAAAGCAGGGGCCCCAGCUGUGAUUCCCAGGUGUCUGAUGGAGAAGGCAGGGCCCUGGCGAGAAGCAGAGAUGGGGAGGAGAUCUCCAGGCAUGCCUUUGACACAAGGCCCAGGAUCACCGUUUGGUGUGUGGUGGAGCCUGGGCAUGGGCCUGUGUCCUCACCCUGCACUUCUAAAUUGGUGGGGAGUGGGAGGCUGCGGGGGACUUUAGAUUGCACUGAGGCUGUAGCACCCACCAACUCUAGGACCAAAAAUUUGCCCUAAACAAUCUAUUUUUUUCUAAACUUUCAUUCAUGAUCUAGACUAGCGGUCCCCAACCUUUUUGGCACCAGGGACAAAUUGUCUUCCACUUGGUUUUGUGGAAGACAGUUUUUCCAUGGACUGGAGUUGGUCGGGGGGGGUAUGGUUUUGGGAUGAAACUCUUCCACCUCAGAUCAGCAGGCAUUCAAUUCUCAUCAGGAGCACGCAACCAGAUCCAUCCCUUGCAUGUGCAGUUCACAAUAGGGUUUGUGCUCCUAUGAGAAUCUAAUGGUGCCGCUGACCUGACAGGAGGCAGAGCUCUGGCAGUAACGCUCUGGCGGUGAUGCUCCGGUGGUGAUGCUGGCUCACCGGCCUCCCACCUCUUGUGGUGCAGCCUGGUUCCUAACAGGCCACAGACUGGUACUGGUCUGUGACCCAGUGGUUGGGGACCCCUGAUCUAGACCACACACCGACAGCACAUUCUGUGUAUUCGAGUCAAUCCUAAAACCUGUUUACUGAACACUUGCCCUGGCCCAGGCUUUCAUGCUUUAAUCCAUAUGACCACUUGGUGGAGCAUGAAAUUGAGGUUUGGGGAGAUUAGGCAACAUGUGGAAAGUCACACAGUAGCAGAAGUAUGUGAAACAAGGGUUGUCUUUAAAGUGCAUGCUUAUCCUGGUCAACCACUAUCAAUGAUGCAGAAGGAGGAAGAAGAGGACAGUAUGUUGCAUCCCAGAAGAAUUAAUGUGCUGUUAUGCUCUGACCUGCUCAGGGUUAUUCUGGUGCCCCUAUCCUGCCCACAGCUUAACACCAGAGAGACAAUCUAUUCCUAGGGCUAGUGGUGGUGACCUCCAUGUUUUGAUGGACAUUCCCUUUCAAGUGUCUGUUUAGCUCACAAGUGUUAAGUGUUGUUAAGGACUGACUUAUGCACCCCCAAAAUCCCUAUGUUGAAUCCCUAAUUCCCAGUACCUUAGAAUGUGACUAUAUUUGGAGAUAGGGCUUUCAAAGAGGUAAUUAAAGUAAAAUGAGGCCAAAAGAGUGGGCCCUAAUUCGAUCUGACUGGUGUCCUUCUUAAGAAGAGGAGAUUAGGACACACAGACAUCUGGAGCACGUGUGCACAGAGGGAUGAUCAUGUGAGGACACGGCAGCUAGAGGACGCCAUCUGCAAGCCAAGGAGAGAGGACUCGGGGGACUCCAACCCUAUUGGCGCCUUGAAUUUAGACUUCCAUCCUCCUCAAAUGUGAGGAAGUACAUUUCUGUCUGUGGUAUUGUGUUAUGGAAGCCCUAGCAAACUAAUACACAUGCCUUAUGUUAAGAGAUCCUCUGAAAAAGGAGAGACAGAGACAGGGCUUUUGUGCAGGAAGUUUAUACUGGAAAAUGAUCUGUGGGGUCAGCCGUGGGGGUCUGAGAUUAGUGAAACAGGGAAAACCAAUCUGAGGGCAGGUUAUGAGCUGGUCCAGGUGGGCACCUCAAACUCACAGGGGACGUCAGUGGAGCUGAGUAGGCUGCACCUCAAAUUGUCUGCCUGAAAAGAACACUCACCCAGAGGCUCCCAUAUUCACUGAUCAAGGGCUGCUCCUGGGAUGCUCAUCACUGCACUUCCUGACUGACGCCAGGUCUCCAUUAGCUGGAUCAGAGAAGUUCUGGGCCAUAGGGCUGUCAGGUUCUGCCUGCACCCAGCUGGUGUUUGCUGCAACAGCUGGAGUUAAAAUUAAGGGCCCGGGGAAUCUCUGGGGCCAGGCACCAGAUGUGUCAGAUACAAUAAAAGACCGGAGACCAAGGACACAGCAGUCUUUUGGAAGCAACAUUGGCUGACCCCAGGGACAGGCCCUCAGGUGGGAGAGGAGCCACCAUGGCCUCUAGGAGAACUUUUGCGGCACUCCAGAGGCAGAGAGAGGGGUUAAUACAGACUGAUCUUUAAAACACUCAGGGAAAAAAAUUCCCCUGACUUUCCCAUCACUGGCAUUCCAGGAACUAACAUCCUCCUAGCUGGGAAGCCUUUGACUGGAAUCCUUGGUGCUGUAAGAUACACAGCCUAAGUAAAUAUGUUUGUCUUUGUUGCUGCUGCCUAUUUCCCCCACUCAGCUAUCAGCAUCCCCUGAAGUUAUUGUUCUCUCUAGAACUGUAGAGUUACCUCUUAGCCCUUUCUUCUUUGGACUUUAGAGUACAUCAUCUUUGGCACAAUGAACGGAUACUGCCACCGUGGGUGCCAAGGGAUUUUUACCUGGAGGAUGAUGUUUACAUGUUACAGUGAGAGGGGAUCUGGCAUUUCACCUAAUCCAAUCCCCUCAUUUCACAGAGUGGGCAACAGAAGGAGGGAAGUGACUUGUCCAAGAACACAUUGCUGGUUGGGGACACAGCCUGGACCACAGCCAUUAUUUCAAAGCAACUUUUCAUUUGUAUAAUAAAAAUCCCUACAAUGUUGUGCUAGCCAAAUACCACCUCCAACCUCUACUGUCACCUUCAAUAUGGAAAUCAGACAAGCAUUUACCUCUCUUCUUUGGCACAAAAGGUUAACAACUGAAUGCUAUGCACACUGUCACAAUAAACAUCUGAGGCCUUCAACCCAGGGCUUCCCUAACACAUGCAAAUUUUCAUUCAAGGCCCUUUGUGCUGGACUACACACUCCCCCUCCCCACAAUCUGAGGCUACUGCCUCUUUGCAUAUUAUUUGCAUGGAUUUGCAUAAUGGACUCUAGAGGCUUUAAUUCCAAAUAUGUAGUAGAGACUAAAGCUAAAACCUAGCUUCACAUGCUUGAAAUGUGGAACCGAUUUUUAAAACGUGUCUGAAUAUGGACAAUUGUUGUGGGGUGGAAUCUACAUAUUGAUGGGUGUCCAGACAUCACAAGAAGGUCUCCUCCUACUGAAAAUUCCAAUGCAUACAUGAGCUCAGGACCCAAGGGAAGGAAAGGUCCUCCUCCUUCUGUUUAUUUGGUUGGCUGCCUGCAGUCCAUAUUGGGCAUGACAUUUGCAUCUGGCAAAGGCAACAAGGGAAUUGAUGAAAAGAGAAAUGGCUAAUAUGUACUAUACACUGCUCAAAGGGCUAAGCCUGUACUGACAUAUUUAAUUCUCACAGCAACCUCAUGAAGCAGGUAGUAUUAUUAGCUCCCUGUUGCAAUUGAGGAAAAGAAGCACAGAGAGGUACAGGAACUUGCCCAUGGUCAUAUAGCUGGGGAAUGGCAAGCUGCAAUUUGUUCCUAGGCAGCUUGGCUGCAGAGUCUAUGCUCUCGACUACUUUCAUUUAUUGUUCUGCUCUACCCAUCUCCCCAGGGGGCUCUGCCAUUCAAAAGCAAUGAUUCACAUCUUUGGAGAACUGAUUCUCUAUUGUUGGUCUCUUGACUUUUCUUCUGUCUUGUUUUUUUUCUAUCUCUAUUCCAGGGCUCUGUAUGACAUAUUUGGUGUUCUUUUAACAACCCAGUAAAUUAAAUUCAUUUUGCAAGUAACCGGGGGAGCUUGUAGUAGUACAAUAAAAGGACUGGAAGCCCCUGAUUUAAUUCUCUCCUCUUCCCCAAUCCUAACAUCUCAUACACUCCAUUGUUUGGUAGAAUAAAAAUUAUGUAUAUAAAAACCACAAAAUUAUAUAUGUGUGUGUGUGUAUAUAUAUAUAUAUAUAUAUAACAAAAAUUAUAUAUACACACAUAUACAUACACACUUUCUCUUAAAAUUGCUUAUAUACACACAAGGCAUAUUUGUUACACAGAAAAUUCAUAAAAAUAGAAUUUUAUCUUUUUUUCAUAAUUUUAAGUUUCUUCUAAGUAGAUCUUCCUUCCCCAUUAAACUAGGUUUUCUACUGCAAGAUAUUUUGUGCAUUGCUGUUUUAAACCCUUUUAACAGCGAAUCAUAGCAGUCUGAGAAGUCUUCUGAACCAUCCUGGACUCUUGGUGUGAUUUUAAAUUGUGUCUACAAGUUCUCUGACAUUCUUCCCACCAAGAGGUAGAGUCUGUUUCCCCUCCCUUUGAACCUAGGUAGGCCUUUGUUACUGCCUUGAUGAAUACAAUGAGGCAGAAGUGACACCCUACAUCCCUUCUGAGGCUACAGCCAAAAAGCUCAUGCAGCUUUUACAGGUUUCUCUUGGGGGCUUUGGCCCCCCGUAAGAACUCCAGUUCCCUCAAGGUGGCCACAUAAAGAGACCUUGCAGAGAGUAACAGGAACGCCUGAGGAGACCCAGCUGUCCCAGCCCCAGCCAGGCACCGGACAUGAAAGUGAAGAGCCUGCAAGAUGACCCUGGCCACUGCUGGACUGCAAUCACCCAAGAGAUCCCAGAUGAGAGCUGCCUAGCUGAGCCUGGUCAACCCUAAGAUUUUUGAACAAAAUAAAUGAUUGUUACUGCUUUAAGCCACUGUUUUGGUUUCUAUUAUCAAUAGGUAACUGGAACACUUGGGAAUUUAGCUUCUGCAAUUGAUGUUUCAACAACAAAAGAAAAGAGCAUCUAAGCACACUAAGUCUGACCAUCAGGGAGUUUGUUUUCUGCAUGAGCAACAGCACACAACCUUGCCAGGAAAUGGGCUUUUCUAAUUUCAAGAUUAUUGUUCUUUAAUUGGAAGGGAUGUUGGGACUCUGGUAUCAGCUCCUCCACUUUACAGAUGAGAAAGCUGAGGCCCAACAAAGUGAAAUGAUUUACCUUGGCCACACAGCUACACACAGGGUUAGGGACAGGGAGGGACUCAGGCCAACUCAUUGCCUGCCAAUCCCAUUAAGGUGCCAAACUCAUACUGUAUCUAUCUAUCUAUCUAUCUAUCUAUCUAUCUAUCUAUCUAUCUAUCUAUCUAUCUAUCAUCUAUCUAUCUAAAUUUCUUUUUUUUUUUUUUUUUGAGACAAGGUCUCACUCUGUGACCCAGGCUAGAGUGCAGUGGCGUGAUCACAGCUCACUGCAGCCUUGACUUCCUGGGCUCAAGUGAUCCUCCCACCUCAGCCUCCCGAGUAGCUGGGACUACAGGCACACGCCACUGUGCCCAGCUAAUUUUUGAAAUGGGGUCUUGCCAUGUUGCUGGUCUCCACCUCCUGGGUUCAAGCAAUCUGCCUGCCUUGGCCUCUCAGAAUUUUGGGAUUACAGGCGUGAGCCACUGUGCCUGGCCAGUGUUCUUUUUCUACUCACUGUGGUUCCAGUGUUCUAGUAUGGUCCAUCUCUGAACUCCAAUGAUUCCUUUUAUUAAAGAUCAAAUAUAAACUUCUAAUUCCUUGGAGCAUGGUUUCCCUUAACCAAAAAUAAAUAUGUAUCACUGACUUCAGGGUGAGCUGGGUGAUUGAUCUUAAGAGGCAAUCCAUGCCUGUGACUUCACUUCUUUAUGAAACCAAGGAGUUUUGAGUGCAAAUCUUUUCUGCUUCCCUCACUACAGGUUGCCACAUUUAAAAUGUUCCCUACUAUAAAAUCCUGCUGGGAACAUGCCUCAGAUAACAAGGCUGAAGGACAGAAAGUUCUGCUUAGAGCUAACUGGGACCAUUGUUUGGUAGAUUACAGACAUCUCUGAGAUUACUGGUUCAACAGCUAGACUGAUGAGGUCCAUGACUUGUACUUUGGGAAACUGCUUCCCAGAGUACAAUCUCUUGAAUACAUUCCAGCAAGAAAGUCAUGUGAGACAGGGCUUGUGUGCCCCAGACACACCUAUGGCCUUCAGCCAACAUGAAUUCACCUUGUGCUGAAGCUCUAGGGGGCUGACAGACCAUGGUCUCCUAAAAAACAUAUGAACAAACACACGUGAACACACACCCACACAGAGUAAGCAUAGGCCUUUUCCCAGGGGUAAGAAACAGGGAAGAAUGACAAAUUUUCAGCUCAAGUCCCCCAUCAUCUCCACAUUCACAUAUGGUUAAAGUCAUUUGUCUGAGGUCAAAAUGACCACCAUGUAGCAGUACCAGGAUUUAAACCCAGGUUUCUCUGAUCCUGACUGCCCAA